rnacentral:sRNA from 1 species
CGAUCCUUUAGACCUUCGG